rnacentral:rRNA from 1 species
UACGUAGGGCGCGAGCGUUGUCCGGAUUUAUUGGGCGUAAAGAGCUCGUAGGCGGCUUGUUGCGUCGGCUGUGAAAACCCAUGGCUCAACCGUGGGCUUGCAGCCGAUACGGGCAGGCUAGAGUUCGGUAGGGGAGACUGGAAUUCCUGGUGUAGCGGUGAAAUGCGCAGAUAUCAGGAGGAACACCGGUGGCGAAGGCGGGUCUCUGGGCCGAUACUGACGCUGAGGAGCGAAAGCGUGGGUAGCAAACAAG